GGGGAAGACAUAAUGGAGAAUAAAGUUACAUAAGGAGGUCGGACACUUGAAGUACCCCCUGAUCCAAUCAAUUUUAAAGGCGGAACUGAAACUCUGCGCUGUAGUUUCCUUCAAAGCCUCUUAGACGUCACGGACGACCGGAAGUGGUCGCAAAUUUAAACAGCCUUCACAGCAACAAUACCCGCGGACUUUCACUUCACGGGUUGUGUGGUGAAUCGGUCAUUUAUAAAUAAAUAAAAAAAUACUCUUACGAAGGAUUUCUUUAAGGCUGGCAUCUUCCAUUACUGUUUCGAACAUCAACAUGGACGAGAAGCUGAACGCCAAAGAGAAUCUCGUGCCAGCGGCUUAAGAAAAUGACGCGACAAUUAGUGUUUGUACUCAAUGUUAGCGAUUUAUAGUUAUUUACUACAGCCCACGUAUAACAACCCGCAAUACACCAAUCCAGGCUUACGGCAA
rnacentral:lncRNA from 1 species